GGUUUAUGUUACAACUCUAGAGGCUGCUUCUGUUGGAGAGAAUUCUCAGCACUUGGAUCUUAAACAUAGUCCUUGAUUUCGUUGCUUAGCUCUUCUCAGGAGAAGAAAAGUGUCUGAAGCCAAAGGGAAGGAUGGGAGAGGAAGAGUCCCCAGACGAAGGGACCUGAAGAUGGAGAUCCCUGAUUCUGCCUCCCUCCCUGCAGUUUCUUGCCCGGUUCUGCUCUAAGACGUGUGUGCUCAAAAAAUUCCAUUCCGGGCUUCCCUGGUGGCACAGUGGUUGAGCGUCUGCUUGCUGAUGAAGGGGACGCGGGUUUGUGCCCCGGUCCGGGAAGAUCCCACAUGCCGCGGAGUGGCUGGGCCCAUGAGCCAUGGCCGCUGAGCCUGCGCGUCCGGAACCUGUGCUCCACAACGGAAGAGGCCACAACAGUGAGAGGCCCGCGUACCGCAAAAAAAAAAUUCCAUUCCAGUAGCACCUACCUGGUGUCACAGAUCAGCGAGUCUGUAACUGGAGGCAUCCCACGUUUUCCUGGGAAACUGGAGACACCAUUUUCACCGCGUAUAGCAAUGAAGGCUUUAACUUUCUUAGACCAAUGCUAGGUGUGAACUUUCUGGAUCUUGUGAAGGCUGGAUACUCUUUUUUGAGAUGACUCAUGUCUUUGGUAAGCCAUGGAAAGGCUUAUUGGUUUGAGUCGCUAUUUGAGAUGAAUAUAAGAUCCUACUCACUGAUGGCCAGAUGAUGGAUGCUUUGAAUUGGUUAUAUUUAAGAGAAAAAAUGUUUAGCAAACUCUUAUUCUAAAACCAAAUUUUAAAAGUAGAUGAAGCAAACAAAGAAAAAAUGUACACAGGCAUAGCUUGAAGAUAUUAUGGCUUUGGUUCCAGAUUACUGCAAUAAAGUGAACAUCGCAAUAAACCCAGUCCUAUGAAUUUUUUCUG